GACGAACUGUCCUAACGUUGUUCGGAAUCACUGGGCUUAAAGGGCGCGUAGGCGGUCGACCAAGUCAGGGGUGAAAUGCCUGGGCUCAACCUAGGAAUUGCGCUCGAUACAGCGAGGCUAGAGUGUGGGAGAGGUUGGUGGAAUUCCCAGUGUAGAGGUGAAAUUCGUAGAUAUUGGGAAGAACACCGGUGGCGAAGGCGACUUACUGGACACAUAUUGACGCUGAGGUGCGAAAGCGUGGGGAGCAAACAGG
rnacentral:rRNA from 1 species